rnacentral:tRNA from 1 species
UGCCUGGAAGAUUAGUGGUUAGGCCUCGGCGCUCUCACCGCCAUGGCCUGGGUUCAAUUCCCGGCCAGGGAA